rnacentral:tRNA from 3 species
GCUAAUAGGGCUGCUUAAGCAGGCUACUUUGAUAUAGUAGACUUAAAAUGUUAUAUUUCGUUAGUA